rnacentral:rRNA from 1 species
UGGGGAAUAUUGGACAAUGGGCGCAAGCCUGAUCCAGCCAUGCCGCGUGAGUGAUGAAGGCCCUAGGGUUGUAAAGCUCUUUCACCGGUGAAGAUAAUGACGGUAUCAUAGGAGGAAGCCCCGGCUAAAUACGUGCCAGCAGCCGCGGUAAUACGUAUGGGGCGAGCGUUGUCCGGAAUUAUUGGGCGUAAGGGUACGGAGGCGGUCGAUUAAGUCAGGUGUGAAAGCGUGAGGCUUAACCUCAUUAAGCACUUGAAACUGAUAGACUUGGGUGAAGGAGAGGAAAGUGGAAUUCCUAGUGUAGCGGUGAAAUGCGUAGAUAAUAGGAGGAAUACCGGUGGCGAAGGCGACUUUCUGGACUUUUACUGACGCUCAGGUACGAAAGCGUGGGGAGCAAACAGG